rnacentral:tRNA from 1 species
UAGAAAAUAUUUUAAAAUAAAAUAAAUUUUUUACAAAAAUUUGAUGGAUAAAUCCUUUUCUUU